rnacentral:tRNA from 1 species
GCGGGAAUAGCUCAGUGGUAGAGCACGACCUUGCCAAGGUCGGGGUCAUGAGUUCGAUUCUCAUUUCUUGCUCCA